rnacentral:rRNA from 1 species
UACAGAGGUCUCAAGCGUUGUUCGGAUUCAUUGGGCGUAAAGGGUGCGUAGGCGGCGCGGUAAGUCGGGUGUGAAAUCUCCGAGCUUAACUCGGAAACUGCAUCGGAUACUAUUUCGCUCGAGGGUUGGAGGGGGGACUGGAAUACUUGGUGUAGCAGUGAAAUGCGUAGAUAUCAAGUGGAACACCAGUGGCGAAGGCGAGUCCCUGGACAACUCCUGACACUGAGGCACGAAAGCUAGGGGAGCAAACAGG